rnacentral:lncRNA from 1 species
GGGCAGUUGACGGUCAAAAUCUGAAGGUAGAGUAACUGAAAACCUGUUUCCUGCAAGUCCUAUGAUCUGCAGUUCUAACAUGUUGAAAAUGCUAGCAGGUACGGGACCAGUAAACACAUUAUUGUAUAAUGACAGCGCCUGGUAUCUCUCCUGUCAAGUGUGGGAAAUAUAUGAGAAGAGAGAGAGAGAGAGAGAGAGAGAGAGAGAGAGAGAGAGAGAGAGAAGGAAGAAAAUUUCCGAUUCUUGUAAGGAAAUAUCAUACUACCUUCUAAGUGCAGGUCUCGAAGAUCUAAUAUUGUAAGUGCUGUCAAGUUAGCUAGAUUUCUUGGUACAGUUCCAAUGAACUGAUUGACGGACAAUGACAAGAUUUGAAGCUU